rnacentral:rRNA from 1 species
CAGCAGCCGCGGUAAUACGUAGGUGGCAAGCGUUGUCCGGAUUUAUUGGGCGUAAAGCGAGCGCAGGCGGUUAGAUAAGUCUGAAGUUAAAGGCUGUGGCUUAACCAUAGUACGCUUUGGAAACUGUUUAACUUGAGUGCAAGAGGGGAGAGUGGAAUUCCAUGUGUAGCGGUGAAAUGCGUAGAUAUAUGGAGGAACACCGGUGGCGAAAGCGGCUCUCUGGCUUGUAACCGACGCUGAGGCUCGAAAGCGUGGGGAGCAAACAGGAUUAGAUACCCCCGUAGUCCCUGUCUCUUAUACC